CCUACGGGAGGCAGCAGUGAGGAAUAUUGGUCAAUGGCCGGAAGGCUGAACCAGCCAAGCCGCGUGAGGGACGACUGCCCUCUGGGUUGUAAACUCUUUUUAUAAGGGAAGAAUAAAUGCUACGUGUAGCAUGAUGCCUGUACCUUAUGAAUAAGCAUCGGCUAACUCGGUGCCAGCAGCCGCGGUAAUACGGAGGAUGCGAGCGUUAUCGGGGUUUAUUGGGUUUAAAGGGUGCGUAGGCGGUUUUUUAAGUUAGUGGGUAAACGUCGGGGCUUCACCUUGAUUUGCCAUUAAUACUGUAAGACUCGAGUGCAGAAGAGGUAGGCGGAAUAAGUUAAGUAGCGGUGAAAUGCUUAGAUAUAA
rnacentral:rRNA from 1 species